rnacentral:rRNA from 1 species
AGGGUUCGAUUAUGGCUCAGGAUGAACGCUGGCGGCGUGCUUAACACAUGCAAGUCGAGCGAAGCACUUAAGAAAGAUUCUUCGGAUGAAUUCUUUAGUGACUGAGCGGCGGACGGGUGAGUAACGCGUGGAUAACCUGCCACAUACAGGGGGAUAACAGUUAGAAAUGACUGCUAAUACCGCAUAAGCGCACAGUGCUGCAUGGCACAGUGUGAAAAACUCCGGUGGUAUGUGAUGGAUCCGCGUUGGAUUAGGCAGUUGGCGGGGUAACGGCCCACCAAACCGACGAUCCAUAGCCGGCCUGAGAGGGUGAACGGCCACAUUGGGACUGAGACACGGCCCAA